rnacentral:tRNA from 1 species
GGAAAGAUGGCAGAGUGGUCUAAUGCACCGGUUUACUAAACCGACGAGGCUAAUAACCUCCGGGGGUUCGAAUCCCUCUCUUUCCG